UCCAAACAACUCUUCUCUUCUCUCUCUAAUAAUCAAACACAAAAAAAUUAUAGUAGAAUAAUAAUGGAGGUAACUUUGAUCAACGUUGCAACUUCUUUAGUCUGUAUUUUUACAAUAGCAUGGAUGUGGAAAGCAUUAAAUUGGAUUUGGUUGAAGCCAAAAAUACUAGAAAGAUGCCUUACAAAACAAGGAUUUCGAGGGCAACCUUAUAAGGUAUUGUUUGGUGACACCAAAAAAAUAGCUCAAAUGGUGAAAGAAACCACUUCUAAGCCUAUGGAGCACUUUUCAAAUCAUUAACCCCUCGAAUCUUCCCAUUUCAUCAUCAAACAAUGGAGAACUAUGGAGAAAAAUCGUACUUUUGGAAUGGACCAACACCAACAGUGAUCAUAACAAAACCAGAAGAAAUAAGAGAAAUCUGUUGAAGAUUUAUGAUUUUCAGAAGACAGCAACUCCACUUUUGAAGAGGCUUACAAAUGGCUUAGUAAGGCUGGAAGGCCAGAAAUGGGCACAAGAAAGAAAGCUGCUUAACCCUGCCUUCCAUAUGGAGAAACUAAAGCAUAUGGUGCCAGCAUUUCAUGCGAGUUGUAAUGAGAUGAUUCAAGAAUGGGAGAAGAUGACAUCGAAAACAGGAAGUGAAGAACUAGAAAUGUGGUCAUAUCUACACAAUCUUUCAGCAGAUGCAAUAUCUAGGGCAGCAUUUGGAAGUAGUUUUGAAGGAGGAAAGAGGGUUUUUCAACUUUUAAGAGAACACAUUUCAAUUACUGUUCAAUCCUUGCAGUCAGUUUAUAUUCCUGGGUCCAGGGUGAAGAGAACACAUACUUAAUAACAACAAUUAUUAUGAUCAAGCUGGGAUGGUCAGCAUUAACGUACUGACAAGUGAAACUGAGAGCGAUUCUAGGAUUGACAAAGGACGGGGUCAUAUUUACUUUCAUGACGCUCAAAACGAAGCAGAAAUCUAAGACAUAAAGAGUCCUAGUAAAAUUGUAACAGAACAUUUUGUCAUUACUUCACUCAAACUGCUCUUAAACCUAUUACAAAUACAAAUUCUUCCAGGAAGGUGGAAAUAUACUGCAAAAAAUGAGAAUAUUUAGCACAUACCUUUUCUCAGAUUGUUGGGUUCUUUUUACGAGAACAGUGGACGCUGCACCGACGACUGCAAUUGCUAUUGUCAGAGACAAAACUGUUUCCGGCAACGCAGAAGAUAUUCUUAAGAUAAAUUAUUUCUAAACUCAUCAAUUCAAUUUUUUUAAAUAAAUUAAUUAGCUCUCUUCAUGAGCAUUAACUAACCCAUUAGAAAUUCAAACUAAUUCUUGGUUAUACAACUCGAUAUUCAAAAAAUUAGGAAAUAUUUAUAGAUAAAACAAAAUAGUCAUCCCUAUGUAAAACUCAGUCUUUAACAUGGCAUGAAAAGUGAGGAAAACAAACAAAAGAGAAAACAAAAAUGGAGUUCUGAUAACUCCAAAGCUCCAUACCAAGAUUAAUGUUGUCCUCAAUUGAAAAUAACACUAAAUUCUGCCUCUGUAUUCAGAUUAAUGCUGUCCUCAAUUCAAAAUAACAGUAAAUGCUAUAUCUUUAAUUUAGGUUUAUGCCUUGAAAAAUUAUGCACUCGAAAACUUGACCAAUUUAAUCAUUCACUUGUUCAUAAACCUAAAUUCCAAAUCCAAGACACACUGAUUCACCAUUCAUAUACAAGAAUUUCAAACUACACUUUAUUAUUUGUCAUCUGAAAUUCCCAUUAUUGGCAUUAUGUCUUUAGUCUGUGUCUCCUGGCUCUCCUCACUCUGCCGCCAUCUCAUACACCAUUAAAAGACCUCAUCCGGCAUUAACAAAUCUCAAAAGCUUCAUGAAAUUUCUUCUCCUCACAAACUAAUAGAAGUAAUCAGAAUUAUGUUUAAAACUUGCUAUUACUUUUUCUCACAAAUAAAUGUUUGAUAUGCUCAUAGAGAUGUGUGAUUACAUACAGAGACUUACAUUACCCAACACUUCAUGAAAUCAUUGUAACACUACACUAGCAGCAGAAAAUGAAGUUUAAUUACCAAAUUUGAUUAAAUUACCGAAAAUUGAACAAAGGGAUAGAAAAUUAACAAUAUUAACACUACACUAACCCACGAAAAUCAAAUUUUUUUAUGUAUUAGGAAUAGAAAGGGAUAGAAAAUUAAGAAUUACCUUCAUUUGCCGGUAACAAUGGCGAUUAUUGUUGUCGGUUUCUCCCAAAACGACUUGCUCGGUUGAAUGAACUUGCGAAUCCCACGAAGUUUGCUGGAAUCAACCAAAGAUGAGAGCCGGAGGUGAGAAUCGGAGGUGAGAACCAGAGGUGGGAAACAAAGAUGAGUGCCGGAGGUGAGAACUAGAGGUGAAGGCGGGAACGAAGGUUGAAACCGGAGUUGAGCGAGUGGUUAUUCUUGGUUCAGUCGUGCUUGUUUAGGGAAAUUGCAAAAGGGUUUAGCAAGGGUAAUUUGGUUCCUAAUUUCUAGCAAGUAAACCGUUAUUUUGAAUAUAAUUAUUUUUACAGAUUUUUUUUAUUAUUAAUAAUAAAUUGAAGCACCACGUUUCCAUAAAAAAAAUUUAAAAAAUAAAACACCACAUAAUAAUUCUAUGGCAAAGAUAACACACAUUAAGAUAAGUGUUAACUGAUAUAUUUUCAAUACAAGGUAAGAUAACAGUUCUUAUGUCAACAUGUUAAAUUUAGACUUUACAUAACAGUUGCUAAGAUAAGAGUUAAUUUAGCCGUGUUAUCUUUGCCCUUUUUGUAGUAGUGGGGGCGUUUGCUUCUCUCUUUUCAUGCACUAGUGUUCCUCCAUCCUACUCUAGGAAUAUCCUGCAAUUUUUUUAUGAUUCUAGUUAGUUGGUCUUUAAUUUCUGUUGGAACAUUUAUAGGGUAAUGGGUUUGAUACUCAUAUGAUUCUAUACUAGAAGAGGAGGAGGUCUAGUAUGCAAAAGAUUAGAGUACACAAAGUGACAAAAGCACGUUGAAAACAAGGGGAAAACAGAAGCUGGUCACGGGUCGCGACACCCGUCGCGGGUCACGACCUGGGAGCCAUCGCGAGUCGCGACAGGCGUCGCGGGUCGCGACUUGUCUUCUGCCUUGAUUGGAACGUGAAAAGAUGCCUUGACGGUUUUCAACCGUUGUGAUGUGUACGUUUACCUUUUAAUGACACUUAGGUCCUUAAAUCAGUGGAUUAAAGGUCUUUAAUCAGUGAUUAAAAGGGGGGUUAUGAAAGUAAAACCUUUGUGAUUCCUAUGAGGAAAGGGUUAGAAGAAAAAUCGGAAUUUUCUAUACUCUCUAAUCUUUUUGCUUUGCUUAAGAGAAACCUUGCGAACUUCUCUUGAGUGUUCUUCACAAACACAAAACAUAAGUUCUUGUUGAUUCACUUAGAAGAUCAAAGUGGAUUGUUCUCUCCAUUGUAUCUCAAUAGUUAUUUCGUGGUAACCCGGUGAUCCUAGAGGGGCGAAAUUAAACUAAUAGGAAAGCGUAGUUUCCGUGCCUUGGAGUGGGAUAUCCGGUUCUCUCAUUGAUCACACCUAACACUUUCCUCUUUAGAAUUGAUCUCAUUCACUGCUUGUCUGCAGUCCGAGGCAAUGAUUUAGUUCUUCCAAGCUUCGUCUCGUGCCCAUUGGAGGCCGAGAGUAUAGCUUGAAUUUUAGGCUGCUUUAGAGUUCCUGCAACAAGUUUUUGCGAUGAAUCCUUUAAACCAUCUUCCCGUGUUUGACUGGCAUAAGCCUCUAAUACCUGUAACUAGAUUCAAGGACAAGUACGAAGCAUCUACAUUGAUUUUCAUCAGACCAUGGG